UUACGCUAUAAUGUCCACUAGCAUUAUAGCGUUACUUGUAGUUCCUUGGUUCUUUUUCUUUUCUAUAAAUGUAUCCUUGGCUCUCCGUCCGAGGACUUACAUUAUCAGAUACGCCUGAGUGCAGAGCUUUAUACAUAUAAAGAGAAGGGAAACUGAAUUUUAUUGCUGGUCACUGAAUCUCUAUAUUGCCGGGCACAGACUUUCUGUAUCGCCCGACACAGAGGUACUUUAUUGCUGGGCACAGGUUUUCACAUAGAAGUGAUCAUCACACACUACAGCAUAAUAUAUUCUUCAUUAGCAUAGAGGUCAAAGCAGAUGUUGAAAUUUUUCUGCUACUGAAAACAUGUACUGUCAUCCUAUUUGGGCAAUUUGUCAAUCCCCGUCCCUGGUAGCAGAUAAAGACUCGCAGUCUCAUACUACUAUGGUAUACACCGUAUUUUCCGGAGCAUAAGCUGCACCCAGAUUUGUUUUCACAAAGUACUGACAUCUACGCUAUAUAUCCCCAUCCAUUUGCCCAUGGUAGUAUGAGCUGCACUGACUUUGUCUUGUGGGUGAAUUGCUACAAGUGUGUAAUUAAGGUACGGCGUAUACUCCGGAGAAUACAGUACGUGGAAGGACAUUCUCAAUACAUAUAGAGGAUACUGCUGGAAUUGUUUUCUCUUGACUGUGUGUAUGUGUAUAUGUGUGUGUGUGGUGUAUGGAUGGGUGGUGUGUGCGUAUGUGCACGUGUGUACGUAUCUGUGUAUGUGUGUACAUGUUUGUGUGUCUGCUUCCUACAACUUGCUGUCGCGGAUGAGGAAAAUUCAGCGUUGACAACAUGGUCACUUUGGAUGUGACCAUGUGCGCUGGCCCUCGCUUGCCUGGGCGCAGAGGAGUUGCAUAGUUCCAUUUCGAGCUUGGCUCACAGCAUAUGUCUUUGGGAAGAGAGUCAAGUAGACACAGCUGCACCUCCUGUCACUCCGAAAGAGCAAAACAAGCAACAGUGAAAGAGCCUGUUCGUGUCCCACCGGAGCUGCAGUAACUCAUGCUACGUCCCGAAGCCAGCACUCCGUUCAAGUCGCCCCAUUUGGUGACACAUGGCCAGUUGUGGUGGUGGGCGAAGGAAGGAAGGUGCUCUCCGCAAGCAACAGAAGCUGGUCAAGAUAGGCUUUGGACGUUGAAAUAAAGUCUACGUCAUCAGCAUAAGCUGUUUCUGCCGGUAGGUGUUCAUCUGCAGCUGGUCUCGGUGGCAGGACUGAACGAAGGUCACGCAGAGCGGCUUCAAGAUUUUUCUCAACUCUCCCACCAGAUCAGCAUACUAGGCAAGCAACAGCGAUGGUCGUACUAUUAGCCACACCGGCAAACAGCCACCGUACCGGGACCAGCGGCAAACAGCCACCGUACCGGGACCAGCGGCAAACAGCCACCGUACCGGGACCAGCGGCAAACAGCCACCGUACCGGGACCAGCGGCAAACAGCAGUACAGCGCACGUGCAUAACCUCUUUACCGUAUUAUAUUGCCUGCUUCAAAUUCUGGCACAAAUGUUACUCCGUCUCAAUACAUGUGUUCAAUUUCAUUGUACAAGAAGCAGCUCAAUCAGCUAUCUUGUAUUACAUGUAUUCAACGCCAAUAGCUUAGUUGUACUUCGAAGUAUGAUGACAUUGUCUGAAGAGUUGAAUAUUUAUUGUCAACUACUUGCAAGCUAAAUUUGUAUCCUCUUCACUUCAUUUUCUUUACACAUCUCUGCUUCUUAUCAUCUGCUUUACUCCGUGGCUUCCUGUGUUCCUCUCGUAUAAUAAUUUCUUUGCAUCUUUUUUACUUCACCGCGCUUCCGAUACUCUUCUGACUUCCGACAUCUUUCCUCUUCCCCUUUUCUUAGCUUCAUCUUAUCCUGAUGUUCUUUUUAUAGGGCAAGUAUAUUUUCAGCAUUUUUCAUAUCUUCAUCAUUUUCGCUUUUAUCCAUCUCUCCUUCCUUUUUCUCGCUUCAUUCUCAUCACUAGGAUACCUCUCACGACCUUCUCACUACACACCACACAUCACAUCACAUACUUUUACAAAAUAAAUAUUGCCUACCCAAGCAUACUAUUAUAAGAUGUGUGAGCUGGAUAAUUAUUUUAUGGGGCAGUAAUUUUUGGCUGGUUUUCGAUGAAA